UACGGAGGGUGCGAGCGUUGUCCGGAAUCAUUGGGCGUAAAGAGCGCGUAGGCGGUCCGGUAAGUCGGUUGUGAAAACUGGGGGCUCAACCCUCAGAGGCCGACCGAUACUGCCGGGCUAGAGUCCGGAAGAGGCGAGUGGAAUUCCUGGUGUAGCGGUGAAAUGCGCAGAUAUCGGGAGGAACACCAAUGGCGAAGGCAGCUCGCUGGGACGUUACUGACGCUGAGACGCGAAAGCGUGGGGAGCAAACAGG
rnacentral:rRNA from 1 species